rnacentral:rRNA from 1 species
UACAGAGGUCCCAAGCGUUGUUCGGAUUUACUGGGCGUAAAGGGUGCGUAGGCGGUUGGGUAAGUCUGACGUGAAAUCUCCGGGCCUAACCCGGAAACUGCGUUGGAUACUACCUGACUAGAGGAAUGGAGGGGAGACUGGAAUACCUGGUGUAGCAGUGAAAUGCGUAGAUAUCAAGUGGAACGCCAGUGGCGAAGGCGAGUCUCUGGACAUUUCCUGACGCUGAGGCACGAAAGCCAGGGGAGCAAACGGG